ensembl:snRNA U6 U6 spliceosomal RNA
GUGCUCACUUUAGCAGCAAAUAUACUAAAAUUGAAGCAAUAGAGAGAAGAUUAGCAUGGCUCCUGUGUAUGGGUGACAUGCAAAUUCGUGAAGCAUUCCAUAUUAAA